rnacentral:rRNA from 1 species
CGGGGUGGAGUUCGACCCUCUUGUCAGAUUUUUUUCUUACAGCUNCCAUACUUGGGCACGCNCAGAAGGAUAGAGAGAUAUAUAGGACUCACCUGCGAGGACGUCGAGAGCAUACUGUAUUAGAAGAUCGGUUUUACGCGGGGCGCUUAUUCGCNCGCGUGCGCCUUUGUGCGCUUUUUUCGGGCGCACAGAAACAAAAGAUGUGGAGUGAAAUUUAAUUUUUUUAAUAGAGAGAAGUAUCUUACGCAUAUAUUAUUCUUCCACUUUUUAGGUGGUGUGGUGUUCUUUCCGCUCCCCCCACGGUGUGCAAAAACNCCGGAUUGGAUACUUUCCCUAUAGGGGGGGCUGCGGAAGGAUCAUUACUGUGAUUUAAUACUACACUGCGUGAGCGGAACGAAAACAACAACACCUAAAAUGUGGAAUAUAGCAUAUAGUUGACAAGAGAAAUUUACGAAAAAACAAACAAAACUUUCAACAACGGAUCUCUUGGUUCUCGCAUCGAUGAAGAGCGCAGCGAAAUGCGAUACCUAGUGUGAAUUGCAGCCAUCGUGAAUCAUCGAGUUCUUGAACGCACAUUGCGCCCCUCGGCAUUCCGGGGGGCAUGCCUGUUUGAGCGUCGUUUCCAUCUUGCGCGUGCGCAGAGUUGGGGGAGCGGAGCGGACGACGUGUAAAGAGCGUCGGAGCUGCGACUCGCCUGAAAGGGAGCGAAGCUGGCCGAGCGAACUAGACUUUUUUUCAGGGACGCUUGGCGGCCGAGAGCGAGUGUUGCGAGACAACAAAAAGCUCGACCUCAAAUCAGGUAGGA